AUCUCCAGCUUGCUGGGGGGAUUAGUGGCGAACGGGUGAGUAACACGUGAGUAACCUGCCCUUGACUCUGGGAUAAGCCUGGGAAACUGGGUCUAAUACCGGAUACGACCGCUCCACGCAUGUGGUGGUGGUGGAAAGCUUUUGCGGUUUUGGAUGGACUCGCGGCCUAUCAGCUUGUUGGUGGGGUAAUGGCCUACCAAGGCGACGACGGGUAGCCGGCCUGAGAGGGUGACCGGCCACACUGGGACUGAGACACGGCCCAGACUCCUACGGGAGGCAGCAGUGGGGAAUAUUGCACAAUGGGCGCAAGCCUGAUGCAGCGACGCCGCGUGAGGGAUGACGGCCUUCGGGUUGUAAACCUCUUUCAGUAGGGAAGAAGCGAAAGUGACGGUACCUGCAGAAGAAGCGCCGGCUAACUACGUGCCAGCAGCCGCGGUAAUACGUAGGGCGCAAGCGUUAUCCGGAAUUAUUGGGCGUAAAGAGCUCGUAGGCGGUUUGUCGCGUCUGCUGUGAAAGACCGGGGCUCAACUCCGGUUCUGCAGUGGGUACGGGCAGACUAGAGUGAUGUAGGGGAGACUGGAAUUCCUGGUGUAGCGGUGAAAUGCGCAGAUAUCAGGAGGAACACCGAUGGCGAAGGCAGGUCUCUGGGCAUUAACUGACGCUGAGGAGCGAAAGCAUGGGGAGCGAACAGGAUUAGAUACCCUGGUAGUCCAUGCCGUAAACGUUGGGCACUAGGUGUGGGGGACAUUCCACGUUUUCCGCGCCGUAGCUAACGCAUUAAGUGCCCCGCCUGGGGAGUACGGCCGCAAGGCUAAAACUCAAAGGAAUUGACGGGGGCCCGCACAAGCGGCGGAGCAUGCGGAUUAAUUCGAUGCAACGCGAAGAACCUUACCAAGGCUUGACAUGAACCGGUAACGCCUGGAAACAGGUGCCCCGCUUGCGGUCGGGUUUACAGGUGGUGCAUGGUUGUCGUCAGCUCGUGUCGUGAGAUGUUGGGUUAAGUCCCGCAACGAGCGCAACCCCUCGUUCUAUGUUGCCAGCGCGUGAUGGCGGGGACUCAUAGGAGACUGCCGGGGUCAACUCGGAGGAAGGUGGGGACGACGUCAAAUCAUCAUGCCCCUUAUGUCUUGGGCUUCACGCAUGCUACAAUGGCCGGUACAAAGGGUUGCGAUACUGUGAGGUGGAGCUAAUCCCAAAAAGCCGGUCUCAGUUCGGAUUGGGGUCUGCAACUCGACCCCAUGAAGUCGGAGUCGCUAGUAAUCGCAGAUCAGCAACGCUGCGGUGAAUACGUUCCCGGGCCUUGUACACACCGCCCGUCAAGUCACGAAAGUUGGUAACACCCGAAGCCGGUGGC
rnacentral:rRNA from 1 species